rnacentral:rRNA from 1 species
GAUGAACGCUAGCGGCAGGCCUAAUACAUGCAAGUCGAGGGGUAGAGGCGAGCUUGCUUUCCUUGAGACCGGCGCACGGGUGCGUAACGCGUAUGCAACCUACCCUUUUCUGGGGGAUAGCCCGGAGAAAUCCGGAUUAAUACCGCAUAACACCACACGGCGGCAUCGUCGAGGGGUCAAACAUUUAUGGGAGAAGGAUGGGCAUGCGUGCCAUUAGCUAGUUGGCGGGGUAACGGCCCACCAAGGCUACGAUGGCUAGGGGAUCUGAGAGGAUGGCCCCCCACACUGGUACUGAGACACGGACCAGACUCCUACGGGAGGCAGCAGUAAGGAAUAUUGGUCAAUGGGCGCAAGCCUGAACCAGCCAUGCCGCGUGCAGGAAGACGGCCCUCCGGGUUGUAAACUGCUUUUGUACGGGAAUAAACCUUUCUUCGUGAAGGAAGCUGAAUGUACCGUAAGAAUAAGGAUCGGCUAACUCCGUGCCAGCCGCCGCAGUAA